GUGGGAGCUGGCUUGCCUGCGAUGGCGGUUGUUCAGUCAGCUUAUUCAGUGACUGACACUCCGUAAUCGCAGGCAAGCCAGCUCCCAC
rnacentral:misc_RNA from 1 species